rnacentral:rRNA from 1 species
UAACACAUGCAAGUCGAGGGGCAGCAUGGUCUUAGCUUGCUAAGACUGAUGGCGACCGGCGCACGGGUGAGUAACACGUAUCCAACCUGCCGUCUACUCUUGGACAGCCUUCUGAAAGGAAGAUUAAUACAAGAUGGCAUCAUGAGUCCACAUGUUCACAUGAUUAAAGGUAUUCCGGUAGACGAUGGGGAUGCGUUCCAUUAGAUAGUAGGCGGGGUAACGGCCCACCUAGUCUUCGAUGGAUAGGGGUUCUGAGAGGAAGGUCCCCCACAUUGGAACUGAGACACGGUCCAAACUCCUACGGGAGGCAGCAGUGAGGAAUAUUGGUCAAUGGGCGAGAGCCUGAACCAGCCAAGUAGCGUGAAGGAUGACUGCCCUAUGGGUUGUAAACUUCUUUUAUAAAGGAAUAAAGUCGGGUAUGCAUACCCGUUUGCAUGUACUUUAUGAAUAAGGAUCGGCUAACUCCGUGCCAGCAGCCGCGGUAAUACGGAGGAUCCGAGCGUUAUCCGGAUUUAUUGGGUUUAAAGGGAGCGUAGAUGGAUGUUUAAGUCAGUUGUGAAAGUUUGCGGCUCAACCGUAAAAUUGCAGUUGAUACUGGAUAUCUUGAGUGCAGUUGAGGCAGGCGGAAUUCGUGGUGUAGCGGUGAAAUGCUUAGAUAUCACGAAGAACUCCGAUUGCGAAGGCAGCCUGCUAAGCUGCAACUGACAUUGAGGCUCG